AAAAUAACGUGAUUUGAAUCGAGAAAUAUACUAUCAGGAACCAGUUGGAACUGUCAAGAAUGACAGAAUCAUUGCCGCUGCAUAGGAGCUAUUGAGAGAACAAUUUCCGCAUAUUUGAGGACUGGAUUCCUGUUUAAAUUCAGCUAACCUUAUUUUCAAAAAGGCACUUGGAAAAUUUAUUGAAAUUGUCAACAGAGAUCCAAAAGAUGACGGUUCUCAUUGGUUGACGCUUUCAACAAUGUAAUUAAAAACAUCAUCUGAAAUAAUAAUCUACGAUUCCGCCUUUACAAGCUUGAGUUUUCCUACACAACAAGUUAUUUGUCAGCUGGUAAGAGAUGGUCCACCAAAACGCAAUAAUAAAAUUCUUUUAUUCAUUGACUGUGCCUUCCAAAAGAGUAACGAUGAUUGUGGCCUGUAUGCAAUAGUAAAUGCUGUUUCCGAGGCUUUUGGACUUCUAGUAAAUCCAAGGAUAUGACUUGAGCUGAUGCGUGGACAUCCGAUAAACUGCUUUCAGAAAAGCAGAAGAUGGAAAGUAUGUUAUAUGUAAGUGCAAGAUUUGGUUUCACCCUGGAUGCGAAGAACUUAGUGAAUCAGAUAUCAAAGGAGACGACAUUCCAUGGUUUUGCAAAAGAAAUGUGUAUUAUAAAAGAAAAAGAAACACGUUUCGUGAGCAUGUCAAAAUAAAAUAGAGUUAAAACAUACAUUGCAUAAACACCAAAUUAACAUAAUUCAAACCAUUAUCUGAAAACUCCGUGACGAUGACGAUGCCGUCACGGGUUUAAUAUAGUUACACGUGACAAUCUUUUCUUGGUUUCAAGAUCAAGAAAAAACAACACAUGUCACAAAAUAAUUAAUUCUUGUCCUUCACAGGAAAAAAAGAAAAUUAGAUUUUUGCUAUAAAUGUAUUUUUUUAA
rnacentral:lncRNA from 1 species